UAGGGAAUCUUCGGCAAUGGGGGGAACCCUGACCGAGCAACGCCGCGUGAGUGAAGAAGGUUUUCGGAUCGUAAAGCUCUGUUGUUAAGGAAGAACGAGUGUGAGAAUGGAAAGUUCAUGCUGUGACGGUACUUAACCAGAAAGGGACGGCUAACUACGUGCCAGCAGCCGCGGUAAUACGUAGGUCCCGAGCGUUGUCCGGAUUUAUUGGGCGUAAAGCGAGCGCAGGCGGUUAGAAAAGUCUGAAGUGAAAGGCAGUGGCUCAACCAUUGUAGGCUUUGGAAACUGUUUAACUUGAGUGCAGAAGGGGAGAGUGGAAUUCCAUGUGUAGCGGUGAAAUGCGUAGAUAUAUGGAGGAACACCGGUGGCGAAAGCGGCUCUCUGGUCUGUAACUGACGCUGAGGCUCGAAAGCGUGGGGAGCGAACAGGAUUAGAUACCCUGGUAGUCCACGCCGUAAACGAUGAGUGCUAGGUGUUAGGUCCUUUCCGGGACUUAGUGCCGCAGNUAACGCAUUAAGCACUCCGCCUGGGGAGUACGACCGCAAGGUUG
rnacentral:rRNA from 1 species